rnacentral:rRNA from 1 species
UCCUACGGGAGGCAGCAGUGAGGAAUUUUCCGCAAUGGGCGAAAGCCUGACGGAGCAAUACCGCGUGAGGGAAGACUGCCUAUGGGUUGUAAACCUCUUUUUUCAGGGAGGAAUAAAAUGACGUGUACCUGAAGAAUAAGCAUCGGCUAACUCCGUGCCAGCAGCCGCGGUAAUAC